rnacentral:rRNA from 1 species
GAUGAACGCUGGCGGCGUGCCUAAUACAUGCAAGUCGAGCGAACGGACGAGAAGCUUGCUUCUCUGAUGUUAGCGGCGGACGGGUGAGUAACACGUGGAUAACCUACCUAUAAGACUGGGAUAACUUCGGGAAACCGGAGCUAAUACCGGAUAAUAUUUUGAACCGCAUGGUUCAAAAGUGAAAGACGGUCUUGCUGUCACUUAUAGAUGGAUCCGCGCUGCAUUAGCUAGUUGGUAAGGUAACGGCUUACCAAGGCAACGAUGCAUAGCCGACCUGUGAGGGUGAUCGGCCACACUGGAACUGAGACGCGGUCCAGACUCCUACGGGAGGCAGCAGUAGGGAAUCUUCCGCAAUGGGCGAAAGCCUGACGGAGCAACGCCGCGUGAGUGAUGAAGGUCUUCGGAUCGUAAAACUCUGUUAUUAGGGAAGAACAUAUGUGUAAGUAACUGUGCACAUCUUGACGGUACCUAAUCAGAAAGCCACGGCUAACUACGUG